GUAGCGGAGCAUGUGGUUUAAUUCGAAGCAACGCGAAGAACCUUACCUAAGCUUGACAUCCCAAUGACAUCUCCUUAAUCGGAGAGUUCCCUUCGGGGACAUUGGUGACAGGUGGUGCAUGGUUGUCGUCAGCUCGUGUCGUGAGAUGUUGGGUUAAGUCCCGCAACGAGCGCAACCCUUGUCUUUAGUUGCCAUCAUUAAGUUGGGCACUCUAGAGAGACUGCCAGGGAUAACCUGGAGGAAGGUGGGGAUGACGUCAAAUCAUCAUGCCCCUUAUGCUUAGGGCUACACACGUGCUACAAUGGGUAGUACAGAGGGUUGCCAAGCCGUAAGGUGGAGCUAAUCCCUUAAAGCUACUCUCAGUUCGGAUUGUAGGCUGAAACUCGCCUACAUGAAGCUGGAGUUACUAGUAAUCGCAGAUCAGAAUGCUGCGGUGAAUGCGUUCCCGGGUCUUGUACACACCGCCCGUCACACCACGGGAGUUGGAGACGCCCGAAGCCGAUUAUCUAACCUUUUGGAAGAAGUCGUCGAAGGUGGAAUCAAUAACUGGGGUGAAGUCGUAACAAGGUAGCCGUAUCGGAAGGUGCGGCUGGAUCACCUCCUUUCUAAGGA
rnacentral:rRNA from 1 species